rnacentral:rRNA from 1 species
UACGUAGGGGCCUAGCGUUGUCCGGAAUUAUUGGGCGUAAAGAGCUCGUAGGCGGCUUGUCGCGUCGUUCGUGAAAACCCGGGGCUCAACUCCGGGCUUGCGGGCGAUACGGGCAGGCUAGAGUUCGGUAGGGGAGACUGGAAUUCCUGGUGUAGCGGUGAAAUGCGCAGAUAUCAGGAGGAACACCGGUGGCGAAGGCGGGUCUCUGGGCCGAUACUGACGCUGAGGCGCGAAAGCUAGGGGAGCGAACAGG